AGUGAACGCUGGCGGUAGGCCUAACACAUGCAAGUCGAACGGCAGCACAGUAAGAGCUUGCUCUUCCGGUGGGGGGGUGGCGACCGGGUGGGGAAUCCAUCGGAUUUUCCUUUUUGGUGGGGGUUACGGUGGGGAAACUACCCCUAUUACCGCUUCGAACUUCCGGUGAAAGCCAGGGGAUUUUCGAACCUUGCCCGAUUGAUUAGGCGGUUGUCGGAUUAGCUAGUUGGCGGGGUAAAGGCCCACCAAGGCGACGAUCCGUAGCUGGUCUGAGAGGAUGAUCAGCCACACUGGAACUGAGACACGGUCCAGACUCCUACGGGAGGCAGCAGUGGGGAAUAUUGGACAAUGGGCGCAAGCCUGAUCCAGCCAUACCGCGUGGGUGAAGAAGGCCUUCGGGUUGUAAAGCCCUUUUGUUGGGAAAGAAAAGCAGCAGGUUAAUACCCCGCUGUUCUGACGGUACCCAAAGAAUAAGCACCGGCUAACUUCGUG
rnacentral:rRNA from 1 species